UCUCUGGUGGACUAGUGGCUAGCAUGCAGCACUCUCAUCGCUGCAGUCCGGGUGCGAUUCCCAGUCAGGGAA